AUUGAACGCUGGCGGCAUGCCUUACACAUGCAAGUCGAACGGUAACAGGUCUUCGGAUGCUGACGAGUGGCGAGCGGGUGAGUAAUACAUCGGAACGUGCCUAGUAGUGGGGGAUAACUACUCGAAAGAGUGGCUAAUACCGCAUGAGAUCUACGGAGGAAAGCAGGGGAUCGCAAGACCUUGUGCUACUAGAGCGGCCGAUGACAGAUUAGGUAGUUGGUGGGAUAAAAGCUUACCAAGCCGACGAUCUGUAGCUGGUCUGAGAGGACGAUCAGCCACACUGGAACGUAGACACGGCCCAGACUCCUGCGGGAGGCAGCAGGGGGGAAUUUUGGACAAUGGGCGAACGCCUGAUCAAGCAAUGCCGCGUGCAGGAUGAAGGCCUUCGGGUUGUAAACUGCUUUUGUCCGGAACGAAAAGCCCCGGGUUAAUACCCUGGGGUCAUGACGGUACCGUAAGAAUAAGCACCGGCUAACUACGUGCCAGCAGCCGCCGUAA
rnacentral:rRNA from 1 species